rnacentral:rRNA from 1 species
CGCCAGCGCGCUACCAUGCAGUCGAACGAGAAGUUCCUUCGGGUGAUGGACAGUGGCGGACGGGUGAGUAACACGUGGGAACAUGCCUUUCAGUAUGGAACAACCAUUGGAAACGAUGGCUAAUACCGUAUACGCCCUUCGGGGGAAAGAUUUAUCGCUGAAAGAUUGGCCCGCGCUAGAUUAGCUAGUUGGUAAGGUAAUGGCUUACCAAGGCUACGAUCUAUAGCUGGUUUGAGAGGAUGAUCAGCCACACUGGGACUGAGACACGGCCCAGACUCCUACGGGAGGCAGCAGUGGGGAAUAUUGGACAAUGGGGGCAACCCUGAUCCAGCGAUGCCGCGUGAGUGAUGAAGGCCUUAGGGUUGUAAAACUCUUUCAGGGGUGAAGAUAAUGACGGUAACCCCAGAAGAAGCUCCGGCUAACUCCGUGCCAGCAGCCGCGGUAAUACGGAGGGAGCUAGCGUUGUUCGGAAUUACUGGGCGUAAAGCGCGCGUAGGCGGCUUAGCAAGUUGGGGGCGAAAUCCCGGGGCUUAACCUCAGAACUGCCCUCAAAACUGCUGAGCUAGAAUCCUGGAGAGGUGAGCGGAAUUCCUAGUGUAGAGGUGAAAUUCGUAGAUAUUAGGAAGAACACCAGUGGCGAAGGCGGCUCACUGGACAGGUAUUGACGCUGAGGUGCGAAAGCGUGGGGAGCGAACAGGAUUAGAUACCCUGGUAGUCCACGCCGUAAACGAUGAGUGCUAGGUGUUGGGCAGCAUGCUGUUCAGUGCCGCAGCUAACGCGUUAAGCACUCCGCCUGGGGAGUACGGUCGCAAGAUUAAAACUCAAAGGAAUUGACGGGGGCCCGC